GCAGUUUCUUUGCAGGCCUGAUCUGGCUGAAGUAGAACUUCUGCUCUGGGUGUGCUACAUUGCCCUAGAGCUGCAAGGCACAAAGUGCUGCCUUCUUUCCAAAGGGGCAGAUGAGUCUCAAAGCAUUUUGCUUCCAGCUCUUUGGGAAGCUAAGAAACAAGUCGCUCUGCACAGUGCUCUAACAGCCUACCGGGAACAUCUCUUACAAAGGCCUGUGAAACGAAGUUUCUUUGCAGGUCUGAUCUAGCUGAAGUAGAACUUCGGCUCUGGGUGUGCUACAUUGCCCUAGAGCUGCAAGGCACAAAGUGCUGCCUUCUUUCCAAAGGGUGAGAGGGCCCCAAAGCAUCUUGCUUCCAGCUCUCUGGGAAGCUAAGAAACAACUCGCUCUGCACAGUGCUCUAACAGCCUACCGGGAACAUCUCUUACAAAGGCCUGUGAAACGCAGUUUCUUUGCGGGCCAGAUCUGGCUUAAGUAGAACUUCUGCUGUGGGUGUGCUACAUUGCCCUAGAGCUGCAAGGCACAAAGUGCUGCCUUCUUUCCAAAGGGUGAGAAGGGCCCCAAAGCAUCUUGCUUCCAGCUCUUUGGGAAGCUAAGAAACAACUCGCUCUGCACAGUGCUCUAACAGCCUACCGGGAACAUCUCUUACAAAGGCCUGUGAAACGCAGUUUCUUUGCAGGCCUGACCUGGCAGAAGUAGAACAUCUGCUCUGGGUGUGCUACAUUGCCCUAGAGCUGCAAGGCACAAAGUGCUGCCUUCUUUCCUUAAGGGCAGAUGGCCCCUAAAGCAUCUUGCUUCCAGCUCUUUGGGAAGCUAAGAAACAACUCGCUCUGCACAGUGCUCUAACAGCCUACCGGGAACAUCUCUUACAAAGGCCUGUGAAACGCAGUUUCUUUGCGGGCCUGAUCUGGCUGAAGUAGAACUUCUGCUCUGGGUGUGCUACAUUGCCCUAGAGCUGCAAGGCACAAAGUGCUGCGUUCUUUCCAUAGGGGCAGAUGGGCCCCAAAGCAUCUUUUUUUUUGUUUGUUUGUUUAUUAAUGUUAUGAUGGAUUACAAGCUUGUGAAAUUUCAGUUGUACAUUUUUGUUAGUCAUGUUGUGGGAACACCACUUCCCCCUCCGUGCCCUCCCCCCACCCCCCUUUUCCCUGGUAACCACCGAUCAGAUCUCCUUCUCAAUAUACUAAUUUCCACCUAUGAGUGGAGUCAUAUAGAGUUCGUCUUUCUCUGACUGACUUAUUUCGCUUAACAUAAUGCCCUCGAGGUCCAUCCACAUUGUUGUGAAGGGGCCAAUGUCGUCUUUUUUUAUGGCUGAGUAGUAUUCCAUUGUGUAUAUAUACCACAUCUUCUUUAUCCAAUCAUCAGUUUCUGGGCAUGUAGGCUGGUUCCACGUCUUGGCUAUUGUAAAU
rnacentral:lncRNA from 1 species